rnacentral:rRNA from 1 species
UACGAAGGGGCUAGCGUUGUUCGGAAUUACUGGGCGUAAAGCGCACGUAGGCGGAUUUGUAAGUCAGGGGUGAAAUCCCGGGGCUCAACCUCGGAACUGCCUUUGAUACUGCAAGUCUCGAGUCCGAUAGAGGUGAGUGGAAUUCCUAGUGUAGAGGUGAAAUUCGUAGAUAUUAGGAAGAACACCAGUGGCGAAGGCGGCUCACUGGAUCGGUACUGACGCUGAGGUGCGAAAGCGUGGGGAGCAACAGGG